CAUGCAAGUCGAACGGCAGCGGGAAGAAAGCUUGCUUUCUUUGCCGGCGAGUGGCGAACGGGUGAGUAAUGUAUCGGAACGUGCCCAGUAGCGGGGGAUAACUGGCCGAAAGGUCAGCUAAUACCGCAUACGCCCUACGGGGGAAAGGGGGGGAUUCUUCGGAACCUCUCACUAUUGGAGCGGCCGAUAUCGGAUUAGCUAGUUGGUGGGGUAAUGGCCUACCAAGGCGACGAUCCGUAGCUGGUUUGAGAGGACGACCAGCCACACUGGGACUGAGACACGGCCCAGACUCCUACGGGAGGCAGCAGUGGGGAAUUUUGGACAAUGGGGGAAACCCUGAUCCAGCCAUCCCGCGUGUGCGAUGAAGGCCUUCGGGUUGUAAAGCACUUUUGUCAGGGAAGAAAAGGUUCUGGCUAAUACCCGGAACUGAUGACGGUACCUGAAGAAUAAGCACCGGCUAACUACGUGCCAGCAGCCGCGGUAAUACGUAGGGUGCAAGCGUUAAUCGGAAUUACUGGGCGUAAAGCGUGCGCAGGCGGUUCGGAAAGAAGGAUGUGAAAUCCCAGGGCUCAACCUUGGAACUGCAUUCUUAACUACCGAACUAGAGUAUGUCAGAGGGGGGUAGAAUUCCGCGUGUAGCAGUGAAAUGCGUAGAUAUGCGGAGGAAUACCGAUGGCGAAGGCAGCCCCCUGGGAUAAUACUGACGCUCAUGCACGAAAGCGUGGGUAGCAAACAGGAUUAGAUACCCUGGUAGUCCACGCCCUAAACGAUGUCAACUAGCUGUUGGGCCCUUCGGGGCUUAGUAGCGUAGCUAACGCGUGAAGUUGACCGCCUGGGGAGUACGGUCGCAAGAUUAAAACUCAAAGGAAUUGACGGGGACCCGCACAAGCGGUGGAUGAUGUGGAUUAAUUCGAUGCAACGCGAAAAACCUUACCUACCCUUGACAUGUC
rnacentral:rRNA from 1 species